rnacentral:rRNA from 1 species
AGCCUGAUCCAGCCAUUCCGCGUGAGUGAAGAAGGCCUUCGGGUUGUAAAGCUCUUUCGCAAGGGAAGAAAACUUACACAAUAACACUGUGUGAGGCUGACGGUACCUUGAUAAGAAGCACCGGCUAACUACGUGCCAGCAGCCGCGGUAAUACGUAGGGUGCGAGCGUUAAUCGGAAUUACUGGGCGUAAAGCGUGCGCAGGCGGUUUUGUAAGUCAGAUGUGAAAUCCCCGAGCUCAACUUGGGAACUGCGUUUGAAACUACAAGGACUAGAAUAUGUCAGAGGGGGGUAGAAUUCCACGUGUAGCAGUGAAAUGCGUAGAGAUGUGGAGGAAUACCAAUGGCGAAGGCAGCCCCCUGGGAUAAUAUUGACGCUCAUGCACGAAAGCGUGGGGAGCAAACAGGAUUAGAUACCCUGGUAGUCCACGCCCUAAACGAUGUCUACUAGUUGUUGGUGGAGUAAAAUCCAUGAGUAACGCAGCUAACGCGUGAAGUAGACCGCCUGGGGAGUACGGUCGCAAGAUAUAAAAACUCAAAGGAU